UACGUAGGAUGCAAGCGUUGUUCGGAAUUACUGGGCGUAAAGAGUACGUAGGCGGUUUGAUAAGUCUGAAGUUAAAGACCGAAGCUUAACUUCUGGAAUGUGUCGGAAACUAUCAGACUAGAGGACAAUAGAGGAAGUCGGAAUUCUCAGUGUAGCGGUGAAAUGCGUAGAUAUUGGGAAGAACACCGGUGGCGAAGGCGGCUCACUGGCUCGUUUCUGACGCUCAGGCGCGACAGCGUGGGGAUCAAACAGG
rnacentral:rRNA from 1 species